rnacentral:lncRNA from 1 species
AAACCAACAGUCCAGUUCUCCCCUCCAACCUCCUAACAAAAAAAAGGAAAAAACAAUGGCAAGAAAAGUAGAGCCAUACACUUCUUUCUUAGCUCUCUCAUUCGCUCUGUUACUGCUUUCCCUUGCCGCAGGUAAGAACUAGAACAUCUAGACUUUUUCUGGAAUUCUUAUAGCCUUUUCUUUUCUCAUUCAUGUGCCACAUUUGCUCGAUAAAUAAAAUAGCUUUUGGGUUGCUUCCUACUUAUUUUUUCCCCCCAUAUCAACGAAAUACAAGGUAUUUCUUCCAUUCUUCCUUUUGGUGAUUCUUUAAUUUGCUAUUCAUACAGAUGCUAGCAUUUGAAGUGAUACUAAAAUUCUCUCUUGAAUUUUCCUUUGCUUUCUUAUUUCCAGUUCAAAUGUGUUCAUGAGUUGGUAUAUUUUAUUUUAUAGUAAUUUCAUCACUUUUACAUUCAGAUUGGGACAUGCAAAAAGGUUUUCUUAUGGCCUGCAGUAAAUUUUCUUUUUUCAAAUAUGACGCGAUGCUUUACUCGGUUGAGAAAUGAUUCUAUGAUCCUGAAACAUAUCUAUAGUGUUUACAAGAAAUGUUUUAAAUUAUUUCAUUUCUUUCCCAAAAGUUCCAUCUGCGUGUUCUCUGUUUCUGACCUUGAUGACAAGCUCAUGCUAUAUUGAAAGUUUCUUUUUUUACCUGACCGUAAUCUAGUUCAAAUUAGAUAGUGAAUCAGUACCAAAUUUUAGUAGGUUAUUUAUCUAUAUUGAUGUUACUUAGUACCUCGUAUCAACAAAAAGAAAUGUAACUUAGUAAUUUGUAUCUCACAGGGGGAGCAGUUGCAUCACCACAGGGACAGGUAAAUCUCAAAAUCCUUGCAAGUUAGCAAAUUGUUAUCUGUCUCA